AGCAUGUCGAGACAAUUCCCAAAAUCUCAUAGAUUUGUUUUACAAGUUGAGUGCCUGAUAAAACACGACCAAAAACCGAACAUAGUAAUACUCUAGUAGAGCCGUGAAUCGCAGACGACUAUGUCCAUGUGUGUCUGAGUGCUGGGGCUUAGCGAGUUCGAUGGGCUUAUGGUCAGGCUCCGGGGCUCCGGGGCACCGUGAGUGGCAACAUGUUCGGCAAUGCCGCUGAACAUGAUUGAUUCGCUCAGCUCGGUUAUUUUCGCGAUUUCUGGGCUCUGUCAGCGGUCGUCGGUCCCUCAGCGCACGAUCACAAUCAGUCAGGGGGCUGGCUAAGAGUGUUCAGAGCCUAAAAAUAAACUGACGUUCGGCCAAAGACUGAGCCUGAAGCUGAUAAGAGCCGCCUGAAUGCCUGCGAUGAUGUCCAUGCCAAUUUGUUAAUAAAUAUAUUUGAUUUUCACACACUAGUCGUCGUCGGCACAGGCACCUUGAAUGCCACUGUGGAGUAUUUGUUUUCCACUCGUAGUACUUUCAGUUCUAUUUCUGUGCUUCUAUCAAUGCAAAUAGUGUGCUUCCAGAAUGAUUGAUGUUCUGAUUCUGCUUCUGUUUCUGUUCCUGGGCUUCGCAAAAUGAAAUUAGUUCUCUUCUUCGUUCCAACAACUGAUAUCGGCAGGUUACUGUCAGCAGGCACAUGACCCAUAGAGUUUUUUGUUUCUUUUUUAUUUGAUAUCAUUAAUAUUUCACUAUUUUGUGCAUUGUCACAGUUCGUGUCGAGUGUCAGCGGGUCUGGUGAUGAAUUCUUAUUAAUUGCUGACAGUUCCGAUCCCCCCCCCCCUCCCCUAAAAAUAUGUUGGAUCGCAACUUCAUUUUGUUUGCUCAGCGAUACGCAGGGUUCCCCGUUCCAUCAUCAUCAUCAUCAACAGCCAGUUCUCUCGAGUUUGUGCUUGGGGUUUUCCACAGCAAGCUGCGUAUACGCAAUCUCAAGUUCGUUCGGGCCCACGUCGAUUUGUGUCGUACAGUCGGACAGUCGGACAGUCGGACAGUCGGACAGUCGGACAGCAGAUAAAGUGCCCUGUACCGGCCCCAAAGGGAAAUAUUGUCUGGUGGUCCCCAAAAGUAUGACCCAAAGUACACAUUGGAUGUUAUUAAAC
rnacentral:lncRNA from 1 species